rnacentral:tRNA from 1 species
GGGCGGUUGGCGCAAUGGUAGCGCGUUGGUUUUCGGUUCUGAAUACCUUUGAUACCCAAUGGGUAUUCAUGUUUGCAGAGACACCAAAGGUUGUGGGUUCGAGCCCCAUGCUGCUCG